ACCGGUGAUAGCGAUGAUGGAGAGGAGACUUAGCGGCAGGAAAAAUGAACAGUGAUGAUGUAAUGAAUUUUGUUCCUUGCUUGUCCUUGACUCAGGUGUGUGUACUGCAGCGCUCAGCUGUGUGUCUGAGAUCUGCGAGAGGCUCGUGAACGUCUUUACAUGUGGAGGAGAAAGGCAUGAUCAUGAUGCAGCACCAGAGGGCUCAGAAAAGUCAGAAGAAGAAGGUGUUGGACUUUCAGUGGUGGAGACUGAACCAGCAGGGACCCAAAGCUCAGUGUGUCAUUUCUUCUCCAG